UGGCGGACACAGUCAGUUUUCAAUAGCAUAAAUAAAAUUCCUAAAAUAAUAAAUUAAAAAAAAAAGCUUUUACAAGCUUCUAGAUAAUGUUAACUUGUAUUCAGAUGACUUAUAUUUCUUCCAUUUAUUUUUGGCAAUAAAGAGUCAAUACCUUAAUGAUGGUAUUUCCAAACACUAUACAUAACAACAUAGCCACCACCUAAUUUACAAAUUCACAAAUUACAGUAACUAUGAUAAAAAAAAAGGGAGAGGAAGGUGGAGGUUGUAUAGUACAAGGGCAAUACAAACUACAAAUAACUUGGUGCCCUGGCAGAGUAAACAUGUUGCUGAUGUAUAUCAAGCUGUGCUUCAGAUGCAUAAAGUUGGCGACGGUGAUCCUUCAAAGAUAAAACCAUUCAUAACUAUUGUGAUUAUUAUUAUAAUAAACACUUACCAGUAUGAUACGUUGUCCAUAAUGCAUUGAGAAUAACCAA
rnacentral:lncRNA from 1 species